GUAUGUGGCCAUGAGGUUGCAAGUCAGCUCUGGAACAAUGGCACUGAUCCAGAUUGCCAGGUCUGUAUGCAUCCGUGAACACAAAGGUCAACUCUGUGCUUUUUGUUUGUGUGUGUGCACAGAUAGCGAGAGACGCCCCGCCUCCUCUCCGAGAGCCGCCCCCUUACAGGCCCCCCGGCCUAUUGGAGCAGGAGCCACUGCCGGCCCCCCGAGGCCUCAUAUGAAAGCCCUGCCCCCGUGUACCCCCUUUGCAAAGUGGACCAAUCAAGCAAUCGGACAAUGACGUGCUCAAUCUUGUUCUUUUGGGGCGGCUUUGGGGGUGGGGCUCGCAAAGGCUCCACUUGCGGUCGGUUGAGUUGCGGCACUUAUGAGGGAGCGGGUGCUGUCGCUUGAGCCUUAACACUGUCGUAGGCGUUUCAAUCGCCACGUCACCUUUGAGGAGCAAUAAAAGAAUGUCAGCCACCGUUCUUGGGUCUUCAUGCGUACUUUGGCAAAGGAGAAGCAGACUGCUGAUGCGCCCAACAGCCCGAACGCAAGCCAACUAAAUGAGGCUCACUUUGUUCUCUUCUUUACUCCACUCCUCCCUCCCUCCCUCCCUUGCUUCCUCACUCAUUCCUCCCUCGCUUGCUUCCUCCCUUGCUUCCUUCCUCAUUCCUCCCUUCCUUGCUUCCUUGCUUUCCUGCCUGCUUUCCUGCCUGCUUUCCUUCCUUCCUUCCUUCCUUCCUUCCUUCCUUCCUUCCUUCCUUCCUUCCUUCCUUCCUUCCUUCCUUCCUUCCUUCCUUCCUUCCUUCCUUCCUUCCUUCCUUCCUUUCUUUUUCCCCUUCCUUCCUUCCUUCCCGCCCACGGCUGCGUGUGCGUAAGCAACCAGCUGCUCCAGGUGACACGCUUUGGUCAGGUGAUGCGUACGUUUAGUCUCUGAGCUUUUUGAUGUCAGACGGAAGUUGCAGAGGUUGCAUCAUGCUGUCAUCAAAGUAAGGAUUCCUCCCAAAUGUGUCAGGUAAAUAAGAACCUCUGUCUGGGAUGAAACACCCACGAGACAGAAGAUCUAGUGUUUCGUAUUUUGUGCGUAUUUAUGUGUCUGUGUAUAUUGUGUUUGACAAACUGAGUGUGUGCGUGUUUUAGGGCAUGCAAGCAUGUGUUGACGAGUGUGUCGUGUGUGUGCCUGCACAUACACACGAUUGAUGGCUUUCUCAUCUCGGCAGCAGGUCAACGAUCACGUUCUUUAUGGGUGAAGCCAUCAGAGCGCCUCGGCCCACAUCAAGAGCUCCGCCUCCAAAGUCAACCUGGUUCUGCUCAGAAGCCGAGACGGCGUCCAGCAGAUGGCAGUCCUGCCCUUCCCGCCAACCCCCAAGGUAAAGCCAUCGCCACCCAACGGAACGUGGCGACAGAAACUAGGGGUGUAACAAUACAUCGAUACACAUCGAUUAAUCGAUAUAAUGCUCUACGAUUUAUUGGCAUCGAUGCUAAAGGUAAACAUCGAUUUAUAUCGCCGUGUUUGACCUCGGACAUUAGACGCGACUUUAUUUUGAAAUCCAGUUCAUUGUUGCUCGCUUCCUCUUUCCGGGAGCAGUGGCGCGGCGACGUGUUGUGUUGUGAGCAGAGCAGGCACGUGAAAGGGGAGUCGACAACUAGUACGCGGCUCCUGGGCUGGUGCUAUGGCUACUGUCCAAAAAGACGAGGAAAUUUGCUCCCCUUUAGGCUUCAAGUCAUUCGUUUGGAAGCACUUUGGAUUCCAAAGAAAAGAUGGCUCAACGGACAAGACACGUGCAGUUUGUACAUCCUGCCAUGCGGUGAUAAAAUAUUCAGGGACCACAAAUCUCGCUGCAGAUUUAAAGAAAAAACACGACAUCAAAGUUCAGUGUUAAAAUAAGCACUUUGUAUACUACAAUACUCUUGUAAUUUCCUAAAUAAAGAGUUUGCAGUACCUUGUUGAUUUUGCGUAGGAAUUGUUAUAAAUCAGGAUAUUGUUCUAUAUUUUUUAUUUAAAAAAAAAAAUCAAUCGUAGAGCACUAUAUCGUGAUAUAUCGUGAAUGAAUCGCAGCAGGCUUUAAGAUAUCGGCAAAUAUCGUAUCGUAGUUCUUUGUAUCGAUAUAUCGUAUCGUGACAAAACCCGCGAUUUACACCCCUAGCAAUACUACAUUGUCCUACAGCAGGGGUGGGCAAACUACGGCCCGCGGGCCACAUCCGGCCCACGGGACCGUUUAAUCCGGCCCGCCAACCCUGAAUAAAUUGUAUUAAACAUU